GCCGCCGCCACCUCCCGCCCCACAGCCACCACUGCCACCGCUGGGGCCGCCAAGCCGCCACCGGAGCCUGCUACUGUUGCUGCUGCUGGGUCAACAGCUACAGCCAUCCUGCCGCUGACGUACCAGCCAAGCCCGCCAGCGCGCAGACGCCGCCAGCGCCGCGCCGCCGCCGCCGCGGCACCCCGCCCACUCAGCGCAACGGCCGCCCUUCCCCUCUCCUCCUCCCCCCUCUCCGCACACCUUAGCCACGCCCCCUUUCUUCCCCCCACGCGACAGGCCCGCUGCCAGGCCGCGACACGCACGCCACGCCCCCCUCCCCGCGCGAAGACGCCUCGCGCCGCCGGCCUCGCUGAUUGGCCGAAGCUUCCCCAGCCGGGAUCCGCGCGAAAGAGGCUUACCCGAGGAGAUGUGUGCCAGAUGAGACUGAUGCAUUGCACAUUGUUGACAAAAUGGAGGAUGAGGAGACUUCAGAUGGGCCGGGUGAAAUUUCCGCAUGGGACAAUAGUGCAAACUCAGAAUAGGAAUGGGUCUGAUGAUUAAAGAAGAGGGAUGAGACGAUGGCACGGAAGACAGACAGCAAAACACAGAAAGGGGACGGAAAUACGAAACAUCUACAACAAUGCAAAAAUCUAUGCAACUAGCAGCCAAGAACGUCACAAGUGGGAAACUUUUUAUGACAUAGGGAAUUCUGAAGAAACAUCUGUUCUCCUCUUCCUGAAAGAGUUCUAUGAAUAUUUCUUGCCUAAUAGACUUACUCACUUAGUGGCAUGACCUCUUUGGCAGUACUCAGAACUGCCCAUCUAAUAUUGAGAAAUGCACAAGACUAAUCAAGACUCAAGUCUAAGUGCACGUCUCAAACAGGAGAAUCACAGGAUUCUCUGCGGUUUAACUUAAGAAAUUUGCGAGUCCUUGCACAGUUUUCCAUUUACCCAUUGCUGUAACCAAGUUCCUUCCACAUGUGUGCUUGAAGCAUACAAAUUGAUUCCUAAUAUAUAUUUUGGUUAUGAAAUAUGGAAAGAACAGACAGUGAGUUCUGGGUUAGAUGCCAUCUCUUCAUGAUGCUCUGCAACACUUAUCAGCAAUAAGCACUUCAUAAAGGCAUCACACUUAUUCAUCCUGGCCCUGCACUGGUCAUAAACUAGGUCCGUUUUAGGCAGGAUGUGAGAGACUUCAUGACUUUGAUCAGGGACUUCCCAGGAGCACCUCUACCAUUAAGAAUACUUUCUCCCCAAGAAGGCCCGCCAAACCACUUCCUUAGGGAUGCAGGAGAUGACAUGCAGGAUGUCCCUUGGGUUUUUGUUUGAUUUAAAGUUAGUAGCAGCUAUAAAACCAUGAUGCUAGAAAAAGGUUAUUUUGAAGACUUUCUGUUUUGCACCAUUUUCCCAAUUAAAAAUGUCCCUUCCUCUUGCAUUGUUAAUUUUCCUCCUAUUGAAACCAAUGGGAGGGUGUUUUUUGUUUAAAGAAAGGAUUAAAUAAGUUUUUAAAAAAUAGGAAUGAGGAGGAAAGCUGCUUCCUCUACCUUCUAAUCUGGUGGCACAAUUUCACCAGGGCCAUAGGAGCCAACUCCUAGAGGCUGAGAGGUCUUUGUGCCCCCCAAUAAAAUAUUUGAGGGGGUCUAGCCCCCCCAAUUUGAUGGGCAUUACCAUCAUGUGAUUGAUUAUGCAGGGUGGGGCUUACCUGCCCCCCAAUAUUUUAUUCAAGCUGGCACCCCUGGGCUAAGGAAACAAUGGUUUCUCUGUUAUAGCAUUGAUCUACUAGUGUUUUGGAUCUCUUGAGGAGAGUGAAAUAUUUUAUCCAUUUCUUUUUUAAAAACUUGUCUGUGUGUUUCUAGCAUACUGAUUUUAUAAUGUUUCUCAUUUUUAUUCCCACCACCCUUCUGAGUAAUACCCCUCCCCACCUUCUCACUAUAUAGAAGGAUCUGGCAACUUCUGUUUCAGUGUAUCUGAAGAAGUGUGCAUGCACACGAAAGCUCAUACCAAGAACUAACUUACCGUAGUUGGUCUUUAAGGUGCUACUGGAAGGAAUUUUUUUUGUUUUGACUAUGGCAGACCAACACGGCUACCUAUCUGUAACUCAUUUUUAUUGUUAAUGUGUUUAGCCUUGGGAACUUCUUUAGAUAUUCAGUUUAUAUAUUUUAAAAUAAAAAUGAGUGUGAGUAUAUUAUUGGCCCCAUUCUUUAGUCCUGAUUGUCUCCCUGGCUAUCUAGUUUACUCUGGAAUACUUUGUAUAUAGCUUGCA
ensembl:lncRNA